rnacentral:rRNA from 1 species
UCGCAAUGCCCGAAAGGGUGACGAAGCGACGCCGCGUGUGGGAAGAAGGCCUUCGGGUUGUAAACCACUGUCGGGAGUUAAGAAAUGCAAGGAUAUGAAUAGUGUCUUUGCUUGACUAAGGCUCCGGAGGAAGCCACGGCUAACUCUGUGCCAGCAGCCGCGGUAAUACAGAGGCGGCAAGCGUUGUUCGGAAUUAUUGGGCGUAAAGAGCACGUAGGCGGUUAUGUAAGUCGGUUGUGAAAGCCUUCCGCUCAACGGGAGAACAGCAUCCGAUACUACAUGGCUUGAGUGCGGGAGGGGAGAGUGGAACUUCUGGUGGAGCGGUGAAAUGCGUAGAUAUCAGAAGGAACGCCGGCGGCGAAAGCGGCUCUCUGGCCCAUAACUGACGCUGAGUGUGCGAAAGCUAGGGGAGCAAACGGGAUUAGAUACCCCGGUAGUCCUAGCCGUAAACGAUGGGCACUAAGUAGAGGGGUUUU